rnacentral:rRNA from 1 species
GACGAACGCUGGCGGCGUGCUUAACACAUGCAAGUCGAACGGAAAGGCCCUGCUUUUGUGGGGUGCUCGAGUGGCGAACGGGUGAGUAACACGUGAGUAACCUGCCCUUGACUUUGGGAUAACUUCAGGAAACUGGGGCUAAUACCGGAUAGGAGCUCCUGCUGCAUGGUGGGGGUUGGAAAGUUUCGGCGGUUGGGGAUGGACUCGCGGCUUAUCAGCUUGUUGGUGGGGUAGUGGCUUACCAAGGCUUUGACGGGUAGCCGGCCUGAGAGGGUGACCGGCCACAUUGGGACUGCGAUACGGCCCAGACUCCUACGGGAGGCAGCAGUGGGGAAUAUUGCACAAUGGGCGGAAGCCUGAUGCAGCAACGCCGCGUGCGGGAUGACGGCCUUCGGGUUGUAAACCGAUUUCGCCUGUGACGAAGAGUGAGUGACGGUAAUGGGUAAAGAAGCACCGGCUAACUACGUG